GCUAGAUGUUUUCGUAUUUGCAGCCGUAGCAACAGUCCAUCCUGGUGGCAGGCAGCCAAUUGGGCUCAGUCGGUGUGAACAUUUGCAUGACAGUGACUCCAAUUGUGUGAGCUCCUCUAAAUGAGGAGGCAAAUUCUGUAGACCAACCUGAAGAAGAGUCUUGAUAGGGAACCCAGUAUUUCACCAUUCAAGCAGGUGGUGUUAAUUUUGUGCGCACCAAAUGUGACAGCCAUUGUGAAGCAGGUCUACGCUGGAUGAAAUGAGAAGUGCACAGAUCCACAAAAACAGAUGUGACCUGAGGAUCAUCUGCUGCGCAUGCCAGAGCUCUAAACAUCUGCACACCUGCCUGACAUAUUUUGUAGUAUUCCCAAGUUUUAUCAUAAGAAAUAAUUUAAUUUUUAAUCUAAAGUGCAUGCACAUAUAAACAUGGCGGUCUUCUUACUGGGAUACUUUGAUAAGGCUAGCCUCAUUUGUUGGCAAAUUUAGUUGGUAUAAAUGGGCUAACGGACAAUAAAGGUCACAUAUUAUGAAAAA